UGUCAACUCGUUGUNGGGNCUNNAAAGNNUUGGUAACGNAGNUAACGCGUGAAGUUGACCGCCUGGGGAGUACGGUCGCACGAUUAAAACUCAAAGGAAUUGACGGGGACCCGCACAAGCGGUGGAUUAUGUGGAUUAAUUCGAUGCAACGCGAAAAACCUUACCUACCCUUGACAUGUACCGAAGCCCGCUGAGAUGUAUANGUGCCCCCAAGAGAANCAUAACACAGGUGCUGCAUGGCUGUCUCCAGCUCGUGUGGCGAGAUAUUUUGUUAAGUCCCGCAACAAGCGCAACCCUUGUCNUUAAUUGCCAUCAUAUAGGUGNGCACUUUAAUGANACUGCCGGUGACAAACCGGAGGAAGGUGGGGAUGACGUCAAGUCCUCAUGGCCCUUAUGGGUAGGGCUUCACACG
rnacentral:rRNA from 1 species